rnacentral:rRNA from 1 species
AUUGAACGCUGGCGGCAGGCCUAACACAUGCAAGUCGAGCGGCAGCGGGAAAGUAGCUUGCUACUUUUGCCGGCGAGCGGCGGACGGGUGAGUAAUGCCUGGGAAAUUGCCCAGUCGAGGGGGAUAACAGUUGGAGACGACUGCUAAUACCGCAUACGCCCUACGGGGGAAAGCAGGGGACCUUCGGGCCUUGCGCGAUUGGAUAUGCCCAGGUGGGAUUAGCUAGUUGGUGAGGUAAUGGCUCACCAAGGCGACGAUCCCUAGCUGGUCUGAGAGGAGGAGCAGCCACGCUGGAACUGAGACACGGUCCAGACUCCUACGGGAGGCAGCAGUGGGGAAUAUUGCACAAUGGGGGAAACCCUGAUGCAGCCAUGCCGCGUGUGUGAAGAAGGCCUUCGGGUUGUAAAGCACUUUCAGCGAGGAGGAAAGGUUGAUGCCUAGUACGUAUCAACUGUGACGUUACUCGCAGAAGAAGCACCGGCUAACUCCGUGCCAGCCGCCGCAGUAAGAC